rnacentral:rRNA from 1 species
AGUGGCGGACGGGUGAGUAACGCGUGGGUAACCUGCCCUGUACAGGGGGACAACAGCUGGAAACGGCUGCUAAUACCGCAUAAGCCUACAGUACCGCAUGGUACAGCAGGAAAAACUCCGGUGGUACAGGAUGGGCCCGCGUCUGAUUAGUUAGUUGGCAGGGUAACGGCCUACCAAGACAACGAUCAGUAGCCGGCUUGAGAGAGUGGACGGCCACAUUGGGACUGAGACACGGCCCAAACUCCUACGGAAGGCAGCAG